CCUCCCCUACACCUCCGCCCCCUGCCCUUCCCGAGGGCAGUAGACGCGGCCCGGAGAUAAGCGCUAGUGCGGCACUCGGCUCUGCCUGGGCUAGUGGCACCGACUUGGAAACUGUUGAAAUCCUGGCAGUCAGAUAGAAGUGUCCUGGAGGAGAUGCAUAUUUGUCCCAGCAGUGAAAUAGGAUGCUCAGGGCUCAGUGGGACGGAGGAAUCCUGAGCUGAGCAGAAGAAAAGCCUGAAUUUGCCUGGUAAUAGUGCUACCACUUUUAAGAGGAUAGUUUCCUUCCCAAAGCCUGCCUCAGCUGUCCAGGUUCAGAAGCAAACUCCACAAGGCACCAGAAGAAUACUUGGAGCAGCGAGGGUGCCUGUGGCACCUUUCCGCCAUUCAAAGGGGUGUCCUCCUGAAUGCCUCCAGCAGUUCCAAGGCUGUGAAGCCAGGGAGGAAGGUGAGGAAUUAAUUGCGGGCAGGAAGAGACAUCAAAAUCCCAUAAUGGGAAGGAAAAUUAUUGAGGAAAUAUACUUGCCUGUGAAAGUAAGGCUGGCAUUUUAAAGGUAAAAGGGAACAAGCCCUUUUUGAUAACAGUUUAGCUUUAAUGGAAUGGUUUUACCUCUUUCCUAGGAGGAAAAACCAGUGCAAGCUCUAUAAAUACGGCUGUUGGUAUCUUGCUUCUCACUGUGCACGAUUUUAUACAGGACCAGCCUGAGAGUUCAUCAUUAGAUAUUUAUUCAGUUUACUGGUACUGAAGUGACAAUAAAAACAUGUCUUUAACAAACCUUUAUUCUCUCUCUCAUUCUUUCUAGUGAAACUAUAUUAUUUAUGAGUCUUUAACUGGGUCAAAAAUGCGCCAGAACUGGGUCAUAAAUCAUAUGAAAUGCUGACAAGUAAUUGAACAGCAAUUAAAGCUUACAUUUUAUUUCUAAGGGGUGUUUUCGAGCACUUGAAAGGGCCUCCGUUAAACAUGGUUACUGCCGAGGCCCGCAUGGGGGAGGGCAGAAGAGCCCUCUCAUUCUAGGAAAGUAAAUCCCACUCAAGUAGGAGAAGCCUGAUUUGAUUUUUUUUUUCAAGUACUGAAAGAAAUAAGAUUUUUAAAAAAGUCAAAGGAGCAAAUCUGAUUUCUGACUCCUUGUAGGCAGGCAUCCCUUUUCCUGCUCUAAGGAGCAGAAAAAAAAGAGGAGUUUCCUUCUCUCUUUCUAGGGAGUUUUCAAUCUUCCCAGGAGUGUGGGGUCCCCCAAAGCCCAAUUAGCCGAGGCUUUCUCAGUAAUUUGGAAGCAUACAUUUUAACUUUCAUCUGCCUCCAUCCUCACAACGGCUCAGUUUCUGGGGCUCUAAAUCUGGAGAGAUGUCUCCCUCUGCUUUCUGAAGACUCUGCCACGAGACUUCUUUCCCACCCAGGAUGCACCCAGUUCUCAAACUCUCCAAGCCAACUGUGGGCAUAAAGGGGACAUCCAGACUAAGCACACUGGUGAAUCUAAAAUUCAGCCUUGGAUUAGCUGCUUCCUCCUGUCUCCCAAAUGGUAAAAUAACUGAACCCUGAUGCUCACUCCUACCCCAGAGCUUUCUUAGAUCUGAACUACCUUUCUCUAUCCCUGAAGGGAGAAGAGGGUGUUGGGGAAACAAUGGGUGGGCCCUUUGGUUGGGCACUGGUCCUUCAGUCCCAUCUGGCUCCUUGGGUCUGGCUCCUUGAGUUUGGUUUAUGGGAAAGCAUACUUUGUAACCCAGCACUGAACAAAGUGUCUGGAAGCAUCAUCAAUAAAAUGGCAGUGCAUCUAUACAUUUCCCUCAUCAAUUUUCCUCCUCCAGCUGCUCAGGCUGCUCAGGUCAGCGCUAACCUUCCAUCCCCGGUGGAAUAACACCACCAACUCUGGAGAAAUUCCCCUUCUCACCCACCUGGUCCCCAUCCCCAGGAAAUCUUGCCCUGGGAGCUCAGUGCAGCCACCUCUCCCUGAGGCCAGCUUUAGGCUUUGAGAACCUCUCUCUGCUUGGGGCUCAGCUCCUAAGACUCCGGCCGGCCCUGCUGCAGAGGACAAAGCCAUUCUUGAGCUGAAGACCAUUAUAGCUGUCUAGUAGCCUCCAGGAGUCUCCUCCUUUGUACCCCCCAACACUUUCCAGGGAAUUAAAUUGAGCGUCUUAAGGCACUAUUGGAAAUCUUUCUAAUGGUUUCGGUUCUAAAAGAGAAACAAAGGAAGAGAGAAGCUGAGGGUCCUGUCCAUGAGCCAGGGUCUCCUUGCCUGACCUUUGUCUCUCACAGCCAUAACU